rnacentral:lncRNA from 1 species
UCGUCAAAUCAAUUAUCAACAUUCAUGUAAAAUCAUAACUCCAGAACGGAUGAGUUUAGCCACACAUAGUCAUGGUAGCAAUUUCAAAUAAUUUCCAAGAGUACAUACAAAUCAAUAAAAGAAGGAAAAAGUAAGAACUCAAGACGAAUUCCGUAGUUUUCAAACUUUGUGGUGGCUUUUUUCCGCUUCCUUGUGUGUUAGAUGACCUACAAGAGGCGUUUUUGGCUUAUAUAAUGCGUACAUAGGUCAUGGGCCAAUGUUUUUCUUUUCCUAAUCUAACUCAGCUUCAGGGAUUGAUAUAUGCUGGGGUGGAUGCGCCGCGUCCGCCGUAGCUUCAACCUCUCAGCAUCGCAUCCACCCUCUGUUCCUUUAUCUCUGAUGUGCUCAGGUGCGGAUGCCUUAGCCCGACGUCACUGCUAAAGGUGUACCAAAUACAAUUUUUUCCAAAGUUGGAUGCGACACAUCCACCCUCUUCUCCUAUAGCUGGAGCACCUUUUCUUCAUAUUUUCGCACUCCAAACACCCUAAAUCAUCACACACAACUUAAUUAGUCAAAAAAUCAAUAAUUAAUAUGGUAUUUUUAACACCAAAUAGCACCAAAAAGUGAUUAAAAUAUGAGUAAAGUAAUAUUAAAAGAUAUAGAAAUAUGCCCAACAUAGUUUUCGACGUAGUUUUCUUCAAUGCAUGACGUUCUUAAUUAGUAAGCAGGUCCUCCCCCCUCCCCCCUCCCCCCACAUAUCUUAAUCAACUUUAUAGUGCUACUACUAGCUAGUAUUUAACAAAAAAAUGGAAAAAAAUGUAUUAGUGAAAAUCAUAUGUAAAACGUCAAAGCUGGGGUCUUAUUAUAAUUUUGUAGUGAUAACUAAGUUCUAACUUCUAUAUAUUUUCAAUUAAAGCAGGUUAUAAUGAUCACGCGACAACGACAAUAAUAUAAUACUGAAAGUUUAAACAGGAUAUGGUAAAAGCAUUCCAAAAAAGAUAAGACGUGAUUUUGUUUGGAAUGUGCAUUAUUAUUGUUUUCUUGUCAAUAAACAUCUUCAUCAUGUAGUUAAUUUGGUACCAUUAGACAACACGAAUUUAUUAGUUUGUGUCAGAAUAAAACAUGGUAAUUAUGUGAAAAAACAUUAAUUAAAAGUAAUAAGUAAUUAAAAGAAAUCAAUUUUAGUAGGCCUUCUACCGUUGUGCAUUAGUACAUAUACUUCCUCAACCGAAGUUUAAUAAAAACUUUUCCUUUUAUUGCACUAUGAAAAUUAUAAUAAAUUAAAUUAUUAUUAUAGUAUUAUGGAUGAUAUUGUCUCCUCAGAGUCAAUACGUACUAAUAAUGUGGUUGACUGUUACGACGUAGCCAUAUACAUGUAAAAUUCCUCACUUUGAAUUAUUAGAAGUCUUGUCCUAAAGAAGACAAAUAAGAAUUCUCCUCAUCUUCUUCUUUAUCUAAUUUGAUGUUUUUCUUAUUUUCUAAUGGUGCAAUAAAUAGCUAGCUCUCGAAGAUAAGAGGGACAAAUAUAUAUCUUGCCUACUUAUUGCCAAGUUCAACUAAUUUAUUCGUGGCUUUGCCUCUAGAGGUGAGUAUAUUCGAAGAUGAUUAAAGAAAAUUAAGGAGACAACAUUUCAUUUUUCAACCAAUUUGUGACACAUACGACAUUAAAAGUUUAAAAUAUUAAUUGACUAGGAAAUAUUUCCAUUUUGUUCCCUUUGAGAAUUGUGAAUAUACUUAUUUCGCAUGUCUUGCGUAACCAUUGAGUAAUCAUGAAAAGUCAAGAGGGAAGCGGAGGAAAAAGUUAAUUACCCCAUAUUGAAAUGACGGGAUAUGGUAAUUUAGUACUCUAGUAUAUAGUAUUGGUAUUUGUUUUGGAAGAGUUAUAGAUUUUGUCUACUUUUAACACUAUAGUUAAGGUUUUCUAUAGCUUGGAUUGCAAAAGACUUUACCAGUUUACUCUAAUCUAUAACUAAAAAUAAUAUGUCAAAUUGUAAGAGAAAAGUUACCUAAUAUGUCACAAUCAAGAACAAUACUUUGACAUAAAUAGUAUGAACAAUAACUUAAACGGAUUAGAAUCGUGAACAUAUAAGGUUGAAAAUUGAAAUCCUAGCUCCGUUUUUGCCCAUAAAUAUCAUGAGAACAAGUGUAUGAUGCCAACUUCUGGAACAAGCUGCACAUUUCCAACUUUUUUGCAUAAUAAUCUAUAAAAUUCUAAAAAUAAGCAGUCUCAAGCAACGACUAUUAAUCUUCUUGGUGACUUUUUUUUUUGUCAUAAAAAUAUAUAGUGCUCCGGCAAUUAUUCUUUGUUGAAGUAUGGCAUUAUAUAUGUUUGAGCUUAACAUCUAUAAGCUGACAUGGCCAACUCUAACAGUGUAUGGGGUAAGGCAAGUGUCUUAGGCCCCCAAUUUUGGGGGCCCCAUUUUUUAGGAAUAAUAUAUAUAUAUAUAUAUAUUAUAUAUACACUAGUACUAUUGUACUUUUCAUAGUAGAAAAAUAAUUUUCAAUUUGAUUUGAUUUGACAAUUCUACUUUUUACUCCUCCCAAGUAAAUCUCAACGUUACAAUUUCAUUUCAAUCCUCAUAUUUGAUAUUCCAUAUAUGAGACAUACCUUCUUCCUACUUCUUUAUCCAUGCUCAUCUUUUUCUACAAUUCUACUAGAUUUCUUUCUUUCUCCUACAAGCCAACAACUUGAUAUUUUGGAAUCAAAGUCUUCAGACUUUUUGAAUCAUUCAUUGGGUAAUAUCAUUCUAACUUUCUAGUAUUAUUUUUAUUUAUUAUUUUAUUAAUUUUACUCCAUACAUAUUGUUUAAUUUUUUGGAAUAUAAAUAUGUCAACAAAAAAAUAUGCAUCUGGUUAUUUAAAAAUCCAAAAGAAAAGAAAAGUUGAAAAUUUAAUAACAAUCGAUUAUAAAAAAAUUAGAAGAAUAGAUUAUAAAAAAAUUAUUAACAACUUUGCGUCUCAAAAAAUUAGAAGAAUAAAUUUUAAAUAAAAAUAUAUAUUAUAAUGAAAAGUAAAUUUAUACUGUCAAAAUACUUAAAGAUAUUCUUUUUGUCUCAAUUUGUGUGACAACGGUGUUUACUUAGGCCCGAUUAAGUAAUUUCAUAUUAGACAGAAGUAAUAAGACUUAAACCUAUUAAUAGCUGGCGCGCUGCUCGCUUUUACAGUUAAACAUCUAACUUCAAUAUUGAUGCGCCCUUACUUUUUAGUUCAUUUUUCCUUCUUGGUUUAUGGGUUUGGAAAGGGGUGGGGUGGGGGUGGGGGUUAAUUUGGUGAAUGCUUCCAGUCUUUUUCGACGUAGUUUUCUUCUAUGCAUGACGUUCUUAAGUAGUAAGCACCCCCCCCCCAACACCCCCCCCACACACACAUAUCUCAAUCAACUUUAUAGUGCUACUACUAGCUAGUAUUUAACAAAAAAAUGGAUAAAAAUGUAUUAGUGAAAAUCAUAUGUAAAACGUCAAAGCUAGGGUAUUAUUGGAAUUUUGUAGUGAUAACAAAGUUCUAACUUCUAUAUAUUUUCAAUUAAUGCAGGUUAUAAUGAUCACGAGACAAUGGCAAUAAUAUAAUACUGGAAGUUUAAACUGGUAAAAGCAUUCUAAAAAAGAUAAGACGUGAUUUUAUUUGGAACGUGCAUUAUUAUUGUUUUCUUGUCAAUAAACAUCUUCAUCAUGUAGUUAAUUUGAUACCAUUAGACAACACGAAUUUAUUAGUUUGUGUCAGAAUAAAACAUGGUAAUUAUGUGUAACAACAUUAAUUAAAAGUAAUAAGUAAUUAAAAGAAAUCAAUUUUGGUAGACCUUCUACCGUUGUGCAUUAGUACAUAUACUUCUUCAAUCGAAGUUUAAUAAAAACUUUUCCUUUUAUUAUAAGUGAAAUUAAUAUCAUUGAAUAUAUAUGCGUGGAUAAUUAAUUAACAAAUAUAUAUUGUGGCAACUUGUGCCUCAGCACAUAUUCAAUGUACCACUUCACCCAUUGAUCUCCCAAAUCUUGAUCCAAUAAGUUGUCUGUAAAUAUUGGUUAUGGGCAUUGGGGACUUGUUCGUGCAUGUACAACCACUGUACAUUACGUUCUAACCCCAAUGUGGUCCCUUUGUUUCAAUGAAUAAAUUUGUAAAGUCAUAGAGAAAAUUAGAUAGGGUCUAUCGGAAACAUAGGUUGCCAUAUUCAAACAUAGGUUGGGAGAUAGAAAAGGAAAUUACAACAAUUGGAGAGAGGAAGAUGAGUAUAUUCCUGAAAUAAUUCUAAUUUUAUUGUGGUUUAAUUUAAUAUAUUACAUGAGUUUAAAAGCAAACAAAAUAAUCUGGGUCACCCACACGGGUCAAUCCUAAUAAUAAAAUAAAAUUAAAAGGAGAUAAACCAAAAAAGACACAUGAGUUGGCAGUAGAUGCGACAAUUAAACAAGAGUGAUCUUAUUUACUCUCGCCGUUUCAAUUUAUGUGAACCUAUUUGACUGGACACGGAGUUUAAGAAAAAAUGAAGACUUUUAAAAUUUAUGAUCCUAAAUAAGUCAAAAAGGAACCUAGAGUAUUUGUGUGGUUAUAAAAGCUUCUCAUUAAGGGUAGAAUUUAUUGGGAAAAAAUAAUAAUCCCGCCCAGAAAUAAUAUUCACGGCAAGUAACAAUAACACAAGAGAGUAACAACGACACCAACUCUUUUAACGAGGUAAAAUACAAUACUCGAGCGGAAUAAUAUUACCACUAAUAUUACAAUACUUAGUAGUGCCAAGAGACUACUAGAAUUUUGAAAGAAAUAACACUCUUUAUUUAAACACCUCACUACAAUAUUACGCACACUCACUAUUUAUCUCACAGGCUAUAAUCUGUGGAUUACUCUCUCUAACUUCUAUUGCUU